rnacentral:rRNA from 1 species
CACCGCGGUUAAACGACGGACCCAAGUUAACAGCCUACGGCACAAAGGGUGGUUAGUAUAAAAUUAAACUAAAGUCGAAAUUCUUUAAUGCUGUCAUAAGCUUUAGGAGAACAGAAGCACAACAACGAAAGUGACUUUAAGAACUAUGAACCCACGAAAGCUAGGGCA